CUGAAAGGGAAAAGUUCAGUUUAGGGUUUAAAACCCUAAUGUUGACUAAAAAGAAAAUUCAGUUUAGGGUUUAAAACCCUAAUACUGAUUGCAUGGAAAAGCUCAGUUUAGAGUUUAAAAUUCUAAUGCUGGCUGAAAGGGAAAAGUUCAGUUUAGGGUUUAAAACCCUAAUGCUGACUAAAAGGAAAAUUCAGUUUAGGGUUUAAAACCCUAAUGCUGAUUGCAUGGAAAAGCUCAGUUUAGAGUUUAAAACUCUAACGCUGGCUGAAAGGGAAAAGUUCAGUUUAGGGUUUAAAACCCUAAUGUUGACUAAAAAGAAAAUUCAGUUUAGGGUUUAAAACCCUAAUACUGAUUGCAUGUAAAGCUCAGUUUAGAGUUUAAAAUUCUAAUGCUGGCUGAAAGGGAAAAGUUCAGUUUAGGGUUUAAAACCCUAAUGCUGACUAAAAAGGAAAAUUCAGUUUAGGGUUUAAAACCCUAAUGCUGAUUGCAUGGAAAAGCUCAGUUUAGAGUUUAAAACUCUAAUGCUGGCUGAAAGGGAAAAGUUCAGUUUAGGGUUUAAAACCCUAAUGCUGACUAAAAGGAAAAUUCAGUUUAGAGUUUAAAACCCUAAUGCUGAUUGCAUGGAAAAGCUCAGUUUAGAGUUUAAAACUCUAACGCUGGCUGAAAGGUAAAAGUUCAGUUUAGGGUUUAAAACCCUAAUGCUGACUAAAACGAAAAUUCAGUUUAGGGUUUAAAACCCUAAUACUGAUUGCAUGGAAAAGCUCAGUUUAGAGUUUAAAACUCAAAUGCUGGCUGAAAGGGAAAAGUUUAGUUUAGGGUUUAAAACCCUAAUGCUGACUAAAAAGGAAAAUUCAGUUUAGGGUUUAAAACCCUAAUGCUGAUUGCAUGGAAAAGCUCAGUUUAGAGUUUAAAACUCUAACGCUGGCUGAAAGGGAAAAGUUCAGUUUAGGGUUUAAAACCCUAAUGCUGACUAGAAAGGAAAAUUCAGUUUAGGGUUUAAAACCCUAAUGCUGAUUGCAUGGAAAAGCUUAGUUUAGGGUUUAAAACCCUAAUGCUGGCUGAAUGGAAAAGAAUUCAGUUUAGGGUUUAAAACCCUAAUGCUGAUUAAAGGAAAAAUUCAGUUUAGGGUUUAAAACCCUAAUGCUGAUUGCAUGGAAAAGCUCAGUUUAGAGUUUAAAACUCUAAUGCUGGCUGAAAGGGAAAAGUUCAGUUUAGGGUUUAAAACCCUAAUGCUGACUAAAAGGAAAAUUCAGUUUAGGGUUUAAAACCCUAAUGCUGAUUGCAUGGAAAAGCUCAGUUUAGAGUUUAAAACUCUAACGCUGGCUGAAAGGAAAAAGUUCAGUUUAGGGUUUAAAACCCUAAUGCUGAUUGCAUGGAAAGCUCAGUUUAGAGUUUAAAACUCUAAUGCUGGCUGAAAGGAAAAAGUUCAGUUUAGGGUUUAAAACCCUAAUGCUGACUGCAUGAAAAAGCUCAGUUUAGAGUUUAAAACUCUAAUGCUGGCUGAACGGAAAAAAAAUUCAGUUUAGGGUUUAAAACCCUAAUGCUGAUUAAAGGAAAAGGGUCAGUUUAGGGUUUAAAACUCUAAUACUAACUAAAGUAAAAAUUCAGUUUAGGGUUUAAAACCCUAAGGCUGAUUAAAAGGAAAAUUCAGUUUA
rnacentral:lncRNA from 1 species